UUUUUUCUCUAAAGUAGCGGCUAUUUUUAUUCACUUUAUCAAUUAAGAGAGAAGCGGAUUGUAGGAGCUCCA
rnacentral:sRNA from 1 species